rnacentral:tRNA from 1 species
GCGAUCGUGGUGCAGCGGCAAGCACCUCUGGCUUCCACCCAGAAGACACGAGUAUCCUGCGGGCAGUGAUCGACGAGACUCGUUGAUCACUCCA